UAACGGCUUUAAUUCGUAGCACAAUUGC
rnacentral:sRNA from 1 species